GCUUCACACCGCCAAAGCAAGAGGAGCUCCCUGGGUGGAUUUCAGAUGAAGGAGUUGGAGGCUUGGCAAAGAGCAGGAGAAAUUAAAGUACAGAACUGAGACGAUGCAUCGACUCGUGCACCAAGUCAGUGGUGCGGGAUGGUGAUCGCUCAGGAAUUGCUCAUGGACAGAAGGAUUUUUUCCACAUUUGCACCGUGCACGGCCGCUGCCUGACAGCAUUAGUGGAAACUGCCUUUCCCCAGUGACCUUGCUGCUAAGCUGGAGGCUGCCGGUGACUGUCGCCUCCAAUGACACUGCUCAGAGGGUACUUGUCAGAACAAUUACCGCUGGUGGCAAAACCCAAAUGUCCCUCUCGACUUGUCUUUUCAAGCAAGUUUCUGCAAGAGGUGUUUCAAGCUGCUUGUCUGUAGCAUUCACAUAGUGCCUGCUCUGAUUUUUUGGGUGAAAAGAUGACCAAACCUACUCCUCCUCCAAGCAAACCAUGGGAUUUACAGGAGAUGCUGCACCACCAGCCCAGCCACAUGUCUCUUCCAACCGAUGGACCCCACAGAAUGGAUAAGCCUUGAGAACAAUUAGGAAGAACGGUGGUUUAUUCUCCACUUUCAAGCGAGACUGUGAAGCUUUUGAAGCAAAGUGAGGUGGUUAUUUUAUUGUUGUUUCUUUUUUCCCAGGGAUUCCCCAAGUGGAUGGCUGUCAAAGAUUUUAAUAUACUGCAGGCACAGCAGCUAAUUCUCAAAUCUCUUGCAGAAGGAUUUUACAGAGGGAAGCUAGGAUGCAAAUCCUUUUGAAGGCUUUUUCCAUUUUGAAACCUAUAAAUAGGAAAGUAGGGCAAAAUGACUUUGACAAGUUUAGACCUCACCUUCUUUAAUUACUCUCUUUGGAUCAACAACUUGACUGCAAAUGCUUAUCUCCUCCAACAUUAUGCACAGGUUUGGAGUUUAUAUUUUAAGAGCAGUGCAUGACAAUUCUGCAUAAUAUUUUUAAUACGUCUGGCCUCCAGAAAUUUCCAUAUUCCAGUCAAUCUUUAAAUUUAUAAUUGAUAUAAAUGGUGAGCAGGGCUGAUUGCCUGAAUUGUCCUUUCAGUAUAAAAAGUCUGUCCAUUUACUCUUCUUUAAGAAUCAUAAAUUUUCUUCCUAACUCUGUUUUUGCAGUUCUUCUGCCUGUUUUUGCAGUUCUUCUCCCUUUUUUUAUAAAUAUGUAAAUUGAAAUUGAUUGUGUCUUGUUAUUAGUAAUAAUAUUAAUAGUUAAUA